rnacentral:lncRNA from 1 species
GGAAAUAAAAUAAACAGUAAACCAAUAUGCACUCUAAGGAACAAAAAGGAGAAGCUAUACUGAUGAAGAAUAAGAUAGGAGUCCGAAUCCUGUCAGGUUGUUGUGUGAGGUCCCAAGCUUCGAACGUCAUUAGGCACGGGGUGUUGUAACUUUGACAACAAGCUUCUGGUUUACUGCAUUGAAUUGGUAGCUCUUUGAAAACUGAACUGGGUAUCAGAGCUUGUUUUUUAAAUGAUUUAAAUACUAUUUUAACACUAUAUAGUGUUCUAAUGUACAACGUAAGUGGUUCCGAAAUAAUACAAGUAUUCAGCUUUUUUCGCUUGGGUAACAAUGUGUCAGACCUGUGUGUGUGAGGGAGAUAGAAUGGGAGUUUGAGGGAGAGGGAUGGAGAAGAAACAAAAGAGGGAGAUGAAGUGGGUGAGGUUGCAGGAGGUAAUGAGAGAGAUCGGUAAAAAGAGGAAGAGUUUGAAUAGAAGACAAGGGGUGAAAUGUUUCGAUGCCCUGGUGAUGAUGUUUGUGGCAUAUUAUUGCUUUAACAUAAAUUACCCCUCUGACCUGGCAGCAACACUGGAGUUCAAGCAGAGGUGCCUAUUCAAAAUCAAUCCAGAUGAGGGGUCCAAAGUGGAGAAGAAUUCAAGAAAGCAGCAUGCAAUCAAUCCAAAAGUUUUUUCUCUGAUCUCACAGAUUGCAAACUAUGAAUGGAGGGAGUAGCCUUGCACACGCACACAAACAGGCACUUAAAUCCACCGACUGCAGCAGUCAAGAAACAGGCAGAUGAUUAAAAAAAACACUUGACCAAAAUGUGAACUCCAAUCAAGGAAGAUCAAUGGAAACAAGAUGCACCUGAGCUCAAUUUCGAGUCUCAUAGAAAAUGGUCUGUAACUAAGGGACUAAAGUGGGCAACUGAUCGCAUUUCACACGUUGGGUUGGCGGCCCGACUCAUUUGGAGGUUGAAGGAUAUCCCACCCUGACGCCCUGCAGAUGUAGCCCUUUUCUGCAGUCAAAUCGCCCUUUAGUAAACUCAUGGGUGGAAUGUUAUUCAUAUUUUUUAUAUUUUCAUAACGAAAAAAACUCCACUCAAACU